rnacentral:lncRNA from 1 species
CCCAAAUUCACUGUUUCUGAAAAUAAGGUCAUCUCCCAAGUAGCUUGCUCCUCACUCCCUUUUCAUGCUGCUGGUGGAAUUACCUUCGUCCAAACUCUGUGAUCUUAAGAGUGAUAAUAUCUCCUCUGCCUUGUCUUUUCGCAUUUGUCUCUUCUUCCACAUUCUCUUACCACAGCCUUCAUCCCGAUCAUCCCCUUCCUUGCCUGGAUAAUUGCCAACUCUCCCUCCUUGCCCUCAAAUCUGUCCUCCGCCUUGUCCUCAUCUGAUCUCACUCCCACUGAAAUCAUGUCCACAAAACAGCCUGUUCCUACCUGCCAGCUUUCACUGUGAGUUCACCACCUUCCUGUCACCCAGCCCCCAUGAACUGCUCUUGUGCCUCUGCAGAGAUAACCCUUUUUCCUCCACAAAUCAAACUCAGCACCUGAGGGAAGCCCUCCCUAAUACCCCUCCCCUCCCUCCACCCCUCCCCCAUGCCAAUAGGCACUCCCUCCUCCUCCUCUGCCCCCAGCACACCUUGCUUAUAUCUAUUAUAGCACCUGUCACAUUGUAUUAUCUUGACUUGUUUACGGAACGGUCUCCACAGUCUGCUGAAUGCCUUGAGGGUAGAGUUGGGAUCUUAUUCCAUGCCCAGUGUUUAGCCUGGUGCCUGGCACAUAGGAGGUGCCCAAUAGUUGCUGGAUAAACACAUGGCACAUCUGGGGAAUGGUAAGCAAGAUGGAGUCUCAGGUAUAUGUAGGGGAGGAGGACUUUCGACAGUGGGUGAAGAUGGACAGGUGAGUUGAACUCUGGAACAUAGUGCCGAGGAGGUCAAGGCUGCAGUGAGCCACAAUCGUACCACUGCACUCCAGCCUUGGGCAACAGAGUGAGAUCAUGUCUCAGAAAAAGGAAGGAAGGGAGGGAGGGAGGAAAGAAGGAAGGAAGGAAGGAAGGAAGGUCAGUCUUCAGGGAAUGGAGGUGGUUGGGGUGAGAAGGGGUCUUAAAGUAUGCAUAGGAGUUGGAUAUAUGAGACUGGGU